CCUACGGGCGGCAGCAGUAGGGAAUCUUCCACAAUGGGCGAAAGCCUGAUGGAGCAACGCCGCGUGGGUGAAGAAGGUCUUCGGAUCGUAAAACCCUGUUGUUAGAGAAGAAAGUGCGUGAGAGUAACUGUUCACGUUUCGACGGUAUCUAACCAGAAAGCCACGGCUAACUACGUGCCAGCAGCCGCGGUAAUACGUAGGUGGCAAGCGUUAUCCGGAUUUAUUGGGCGUAAGGGGAACGCAGGCGGUCUUUUAAGUCUGAUGUGAAAGCCUUCGGCUUAACCGGAGUAGGGCAUCGGAAACUGGGAGACUUGAGUGCAGAAGAGGAGAGUGGAACUCCAUGUGUAGCGGUGAAAUGCGUAGAUAUAUGGAAGAACACCAGUGGCGAAAGCGGCUCUCUGGGCUGUAACUGACGCUGAGGUUCGAAAGCGUGGGUAGCAAACAGGAUUAGAUACCCCUGUAGUC
rnacentral:rRNA from 1 species